rnacentral:rRNA from 1 species
GACGAACGCUGGCGGCGUGCUUAACACAUGCAAGUCGAACGGAAAGGCCCUGCUUUUGUGGGGUGCUCGAGUGGCGAAGGGUGAGUAACACGUGAGUAACCUGCCCUUGACUUUGGGAUAACUUCAGGAAACUGGGGCUAAUACCGGAUAGGAGCUCCUGCUGCAUGGUGGGGGUUGGAAAGUUUCGGCGGUUGGGGAUGGACUCGCGGCUUAUCAGCUUGUUGGUGGGGUAGUGGCUUACCAAGGCUUUGACGGGUAGCCGGCCUGAGAGGGUGACCGGCCACAUUGGGACUGAGAUACGGCCCAGACUCCUACGGGAGGCAGCAGUGGGGAAUAUUGCACAAUGGGCGGAAGCCUGAUGCAGCAACGCCGCGUGCGGGAUGACGGCCUUCGGGUUGUAAACCGCUUUCGCCUGUGACGAAGCGUGAGUGACGGUAAUGGGUAAAGAAGCACCGGCUAACUACGUG